rnacentral:rRNA from 1 species
UACGUAGGGUGCGAGCGUUGUCCGGAAUUACUGGGCGUAAAGGGCUCGUAGGUGGCCAACUAAGUCAGACGUGAAAUCCCUCAGCUUAACUGGGGAACUGCGUCUGAUACUGGAUGGCUUGAGUUUGGGAGAGGGAUGCGGAAUUCCAGGUGUAGCGGUGAAAUGCGUAGAUAUCUGGAGGAACACCGGUGGCGAAGGCGGCAUCCUGGACCAAUACUGACACUGAGGAGCGAAAGCGUAGGGAGCGAACAGG